UACGGGGGGAGCAAGCGUUGUUCGGAUUUACUGGGCGUAAAGGGCGCGUAGGCGGCCACUGCAAGUCGGUUGUGAAAUCUCCGGGCUUAACCCGGAAAGGUCAACCGAUACUGCAGGGCUAGAGUGCAGAAGGGGCAACUGGAAUUCUCGGUGUAGCGGUGAAAUGCGUAGAUAUCGGGAGGAACACCAGUGGCGAAGGCGGUUGCCUGGGGCUUUGCUGACGCUGAUGCGCGAAAGCGUGGGGAGCGAUCCGG
rnacentral:rRNA from 1 species